rnacentral:rRNA from 1 species
AAGGAAUAUUGGGCAAUGGGCGCGAGCCUGACCCAGCCAUGCCGCGUGCAGGAAGACGGCCUUAUGGGUUGUAAACUGCUUUUGUCAGGGGAUAAACCUAUCUACGAGUAGAUAGCUGAAGGUACCUGAAGAAUAAGCAUCGGCUAACUCCGUGCCAGCAGCCGCGGUAAUACGGAGGAUGCGAGCGUUAUCCGGAUUCAUUGGGUUUAAAGGGUGCGCAGGCGGGGCAUAAGUCAGUGGUGAAAUAAGACGGCUCAACUGUCUGGCUGCCAUUGAUACUGAUGUUCUAGAGUGUAAUUGGAGUGGGCGGAAUGUGUCAUGUAGCGGUGAAAUGCUUAGAUAUGACACAGAACACCGAUCGCGAAGGCAGCUCACUAAGUUAAUACUGACGCUCAUGCACGAAAGCGUGGGGAUCAAACAG